ACGCUCGACACCUACGGGAGGUAGCAGUGGGGAAUAUUGCACAAUGGGGAAACCCGUCGAUGCAGCGACGCCGCGUGAAGGAUGAAGUAUUUCGGUAUGUAAACUUCUAUCAGCAGGGAAGAAAGUGACGGUACCUGACUAAGAAGCCCCGGCUAACUACGUGCAAGCAGCCGCGGUAAUCUGAGCGGGCUGGCAAGGC
rnacentral:rRNA from 1 species